GACGAACGCUGGCGGCGUGCUUAACACAUGCAAGUCGAACGGUGAAGCGCCUUCCUUUUUGGUGGGUGUGGAUGCGUGGCGAACGGGUGAGUAACACGUGAGUAACCUGCCCCCUUCUUCUGGAUAACCGCAUGAAAGUGUGGCUAAUACGGGAUAUUCUGGGUCUGUCGCAGGAUGGGUCUGGGAAAGCGAUUGUGUCGGUGGGGGAUGGGCUCGCGGCCUAUCAGCGGGUUGGUGGGGUGAUGGCCUACCAAGGCGUUGGCGGGUAGCCGGGCUGAGGGGGUGUGCGGCCACAUCGGGACUGAUACGGGGGCCAGACGUCUGCGGGAUGGCACAGUGGGGGAAAGUCUAAUGCGGGCGCGCCGCGUAUGCGGCGGCGGCGUGCGCGGUGUGACGCCCUUCCGCUUGUGAAGCGGUUCCGCCUGGGUUGUGGGUGGGGUGACGGUAGCUGGUAAAGAAGCGCCGGCUAACUACGUG
rnacentral:rRNA from 1 species